ACGCAAAAUGAAUCAUCUUUUCUUAACAAAUAAGAGAUAUACUCUAUAGCUGCUUUUGGUUCAGAUAUAAGUAAGAACUAUUUAUUUCAGAACUAGUAGGUAUAAAUUCAGAUAUAAACAAUAACCAGACCAAUUUAGUGUUUGGAAGAAAAUUAGAUUGUUCAUUUAAAUAAGGUAAAUGGUAUUUGAAUGGUUAGAUUGAAACAAGAUGAAUAAGAAUUAUAAUUUCAGAUUAAAAUACUUUGUCUAAUUAAUUUACAUCAAAAUAAUAAUUAAAAAUAAUUUAAUAAAUUAAUAAAUUUAUUAACUAUGAAUAUUGUAUAAGAUAAUAAAAAUCGAUUAAUUAAUUAAUUAUAAAAAAUAAUUUAACUUUUCAAUUAAUUAGUAAAUUAUUUUAGGCAGAUAACUAGUAAAAUAAAUUAAUUAGAUUAAUAAAAAUAUUAAUAGUUGAUUAAUAUAAAUAUUAGUUUAUGGAUAAUAAAUAUAUUAAAUUAUUAAUAAUUAAUUAGCUAAUUAAUACUAAGUAAUAAAUAAAUUAAUAACUUUAUUAUUAAGCAAUGAAUAAUGAUUUAAAUAUACUAAUUAGAUUAAUUAAUAAUUUAAUAUCAUAAUAAUUAAAAUUAAAUUUUUAUUUUAAUUAAUCUUGUUCCCACUUGGGAACAAGUUUGUUCUAAGAAAAAAGGUGCAUGGAAUACUAGUUUCGGACUUAUACCGGAUUAUACUAGCUUAUUUUAGAGAUCCAAAAACUACUACUUUCGGAUAUAGAAAUUUACGUUUGGAAAUAAAGAGAGGAACAAGGACUUAUUCUCCCAUGUUCCCAAACCAAACGCUGCAUAUAAUCUCUUUCAAUUUUAUGACAAACAGUGAAAUCAUCCGUGUUAAAGAUUUUCUGUGU
rnacentral:lncRNA from 1 species